GACCUCGCAGCGUCCGAUCUGCCCCGAUGAAAGUCGUGCCGCAGUCGCUGUAAAUCUCAGCGCACAAACCCCGGCGGGAGAUGAAGCGGCGCAGCGCGGCGAUGAAGGCCUCCGAGGUGUAGUCCGAGACAACUUCUAAGUGAAUGGCCUUCGACCAGAAGCAGACGAAGACGGCGAUGUAUCCCUUGUGCGCACGGUGUCCACGCCCCUUGCUGGUCCGGAGGAGGAUUGGUCCCGCGUAGUCCAAACCGGUGCUGAGGAACGGUCGAGUUGGCGUUACUCGGUCCCGAGGAAGGUUACCCAUCGGAGGCUGUGGUGUUGCGGCGCGCCAUCGAGUGCAGGUCACGCAUCGGUGUAGCUGCUGUUUGACGGUGGUCCUUCCUCGGGGCACCCAGAAACGCAGGCGGAGCAAGCCGAGAGUCAGUUGCACACCUCCGUGCAGUGUCCGUCGGUGGCAGGAAUCAAUCACCAGCCGAGUCAACCAUGAUGCCGCCGGGAUGAUCAUUGGAUGUCUUUCGUCGAGUGGUAGCUGAGCAUGCUUGAGACGUCCUCCGACGCGCAGCACGCCUUGAUCAUCGAGGACCGGACUCAACCUCGCUAGGUGGCUUCGCGGUGGACUAGUGCGUCCAGCAGAGGCCGCAGCUACGUCCGUAGGAAAGUGGAGCGCCUGCACCACUCGCAGCCAUCGAAAUAAGGCGACGUCCAGCUCGUCCGGAUGCAAAGUGCGGCCAAGUAUGACGUCGCGUCUCGCCGGAUUGAGCCAUCGCCGACACCAUGCAGUAACUCGCAGCAGCCUUUGUAGCUUCGGGAACCGGAGGAGGAGGUCAGGUUCGGCCGUGAUCGGUGCCUUGACCACCAAACUGGUGGCUCGCUGCUCCGGGAGGUCAUCCUCUGCGGCUUCGAUGACGGAACAAGGCCAUGCAGUCUCGUCUCCUGACAGCCAGGAUUCUCUCGUCCAGCGAUGUGUCUCCAUUGAGCGUCUGGCAGCAGGGUCUGGAUCUGAGACACUCGAUUGGCGACAAAGGUUUUCCAGCGGGUGCUGUGUCCUUGAAUCCAGUGGAGCGUGACCUUUGAAUCUGACCACAGAUGCACUGGCGUCGUUGUCAAACCGAGAGUAGAGCGCACGUGGAGCAUGAGCGUGCGUUGCGGAUGUACACCACGGCGGCGUACCCUCGCUCUGAUGCGUCGGCAAACCCAUGGAGCUGCAGUUGUGAAUGGUCGGUCCCAGUGUUGAGCCAGCGAGUUAUGCGGAUGUCAUCUAGAAGAGGAAGCUGAUUCAACAACUGCCUCCAGCGGUGUGCGUCCUGAUCAGGCAGCGGGGAGUCCCAGUCCAGCCGUUGAAGCCACGUCGUCUGAAUCAGAAUUUUGGCUCUGAUGACGACAGGUGCGAGCCACCCCAUCGGGUCAAAGAGUCGAGCCGUCUCGGCCAAAACUCGUCGCUUCGUGAAGUCGGUGAUUGCACGCGGACGUAUGGUGAAGGAGAACCAGUCACCUUGCGGAUGCCAUCGGAGGCCCAAGGUAGCGUGACUCUCUCCCUCCCAUGAGUGCGGUUUGCGUUGAUGCCGAUGUUCCGGUGGAACUCCGGUGAGCACCUGCUGAUCGUUGGCAGCCCACUUCCUCAAAGGAAAUCCGCCCGCCAUGCAAAGACUCCGUAGUUCCUGCUGAAGGUCGAUAGCGUCCUCCAAGCUAUCAGCGCCGGUGACCACGUCGUCGACGUAGCAGUCGUGUCGCAGUGCCUUGACUCCGCGUGGAUAUCGUGCCUCUUCGUCUGCUGCGAGUUGAUGAAGAGUCCUGAUGGCGAGAAAGGGUGCACACGCUAGCCCGUAGGUCACGGUCCUCAGCUCGUACUCGUGGACGUCAUCAGAGCUGGUGUGGCGCCACAAGAUGGUUUGCAGGCGACGAUCCUCCGGAUGUACAAGAAUUUGUCGGUACAUCUUCUCGAUAUCCGUGACGAGAACGUACCGAUGCCAACGCCAACGAAGUAGGACAUCAGCGAGUGUUGGCAAGAGAUUGGCUCCAGUGAGGAGGUGUGCGUUCAGCGACUCUCCGGACCGUGUGCGCUGGGAGCCGUUGAACACAACCCUGAGCUUCGUGGUCGUGCUUGACUCCUUGAGGACCCCGUGAUGCGGUUCUCGUAUUCCUCCAUGAAAUCUCGAUAGAGGUCACCGAAGCGAGGAUCUCGUGCUCCCUUCCGCUCCAUGGCUUCCAGGAGGCGCUCUGCGGGUCGACGAGUCUCGCUGAGCGAUGUCGGCGGCGGUGAAGUACAUGGCAGCCUCACCAUGUACCUGCCACUGGACGUGCGAGUGACCGUGCGCACGUAGAAGUCUUCGCACCUGGCUUCGUCGGCGGUGAGCGGUGUCCCAGCUACUGGCUCGCGUUCCUGCUCCCAGAAGCGUCGAACCAUGUUAGCGAGGUCGUGGUCUGUGGUGCACUGGAACGUGCGGCGAUGGCCUUCGGGUGCUGCGGCGUCGUAGCCUCCGGACAAGAUCCAUCCUAAGCUCGUCUGCUGGGCGAUCGGCAUCCGUGAUCCGCCCUUGCGAAGGCCUUCCUCGAGGAUCAGCGAGUAGACUUCUGCUCCCAGAAGUAACUCCGCAGGAUCGUCAUCCAGGAAGCGCGGGUCGGCCAAUCGAAGUCCGUGGAUGUGAGGCCAGCUACGAUCUUCACGUUGAGCGGUGCCUUGU